CCUCUUAUCUAAAACCCUCCGGCGCCGGAGGACUUCCAUUUCUUCGUUCGCCCCAACGGAAAAGCAUGUCUUCGCUCUCCCUCCAAUUCAAAUUCCUCCACCUCUCCCCAAAUCUCGCCUCCCUUCACUCCCAAUCUCCGCUCGCGUCUCACCAGCCCAUCACAUUCGGCAACCGCACCAAGCUCGAGCUCCGAGCGUCGUCGUCGUCGUCCUCCUCCUCGGCCUCGAAGCAACCGCAGCAGCGGCCGAAGAAGAGGCGAGGCGGGAGCGACGCGGAGCGAGGGAUCGAUCCGGCGGGAUUCCUCACCAAGUUAGGCGUCUCCCACAAGGGCUUCGCUCAGUUCCUCCGAGAGAGGCAUAAAGCGCUGAAGGACCUCAAAGAUGAGAUAUUCAAUCGUCACCUCAAUCUUAAGGAAAUGGCCUCUGGAUUUGAGAUAUUGGGUAUGCAUCGUCAUGUGGAACAUCGGGUAGAUUAUAUGGAAUGGGCUCCAGGUGCUCGCUAUUGUGCCCUUGUUGGUGACUUCAAUGGCUGGUCACCUACUGAAAAUUGUGCUAGAGAGGGUCACUUUGGCCAUGACGACUAUGGUUAUUGGUUUAUCAUUCUUGAAGAUAAGCUAAGGGAAGGAGAAGAGCCUGAUGAGCUUUACUUUCAGCAGUAUAACUAUGUAGAUGACUAUGACAAAGGUGACAGUGGUCUUACCAUAGAAGAGAUCUUCAAGAAAGCAAAUGAUGAAUACUGGGAACCUGGAGAGGAUCGUUUUGUGAAAAAUCGAUUUGAAUUACCAGCAAAGUUAUAUGAGCAGUUAUUUGGGCCAAAUGGGCCUCAAUCAAUACAGGAAUUGGGACAAAUACCGGAUGCUGAGACGAGAUAUAGAGCUUUCAAAGAGGAGCAUAAGGACGAUCCGCCUGGCAGCCGACCUCCAUUUGACGUUAUUGACAAUGGUAAAACUUAUGACAUUUAUAACAUAGCGGGUGAUCCUGUUUCCUACGAAAAUUUUAAAGCUAAGAAGCCGCCGAUAGCAUAUUGGUUGGAGACGCGUAAAGGGAGGAAAGCAUGGCUAAAAAAGUAUACUCCUGGUAUUCCUCACGGAAGCAAAUAUAGGGUUUACUUUAAUACUCCCAGCGGGCCGUUGGAACGGGUUCCUGCUUGGGCUACUUAUGUACAGCCAGAUGCAGAAGGAAAGCAAGCUUUCGCUGUUCACUGGGAACCACCACCCGAAUGUGCCUACAAAUGGAAAAACCCUAGCCCAAAGGUGCCGGUGUCUCUGCGUAUAUACGAAUGCCACGUUGGAAUUAGUGGAUCCGAGGCAAAAGUAUCUUCCUUUAACGAAUUCACUGAGAAGGUUCUUCCUCAUAUCAAGGAUGCUGGUUAUAAUGCAAUACAAUUGAUUGGGGUAGUCGAGCACAAGGAUUAUUAUACUGUCGGUUAUAGAGUGACAAAUUUUUAUGCCGUGAGCAGCCGAUUUGGUACUCCUGAUGACUUCAAGUGCUUGGUUGAUGAAGCACAUGGUCUUGGAUUGUUGGUCUUUUUAGAUAUUGUCCAUUCCUAUUCAGCUGCAGAUGAGAUGGUUGGUCUCUCACUAUUUGAUGGAUCAAACGACUGUUACUUUCAUACAGGUAAGCGAGGACAACACAAAUACUGGGGUACCCGAAUGUUUAGAUAUGGAGACCCUGAUGUCCUGCAUUUCCUUCUAUCUAAUCUAAAUUGGUGGGUUGUUGAGUAUCAUGUUGACGGUUUCCACUUCCAUUCUCUCUCAUCAAUGAUGUACACGCACAAUGGUUUUGCCUCUUUUACUGGAGACUUUGAAGAGUACUGCAAUCAAUAUGUUGACAGGGAUGCAUUGAUGUAUCUCAUUUUGGCAAAUGAAAUACUCCAUGCUCUUCAUCCAAAUAUAGUAACAAUUGCUGAAGAUGCAACAUCUUAUCCAGGCCUGUGUGAGCCAACUUCUCAGGGUGGAUUGGGAUUUGAUUAUCAUGUCAAUUUAGCUGUAUCAGAGAUGUGGCUGUCUUUACUAGAAAAUACUCCAGAUCACGAGUGGAACAUGAGUAAGAUUGUCAGCACAUUAAUUGGUAACCGACACUAUGCUGAUAAGAUGCUUAUUUAUGCGGAAAACCACAAUCAAUCCAUAUCUGGAGGACAGUCAUUUGCUGAGAUACUUUUUGGUAAAAUCAGGCAGCAUUCUUCUGGCUCGAAAGAUCUACUGCUUCGAGGCUGUUCAUUGCACAAGAUGAUCCGACUAAUAACAUUCACAAUAUGUGGCCAUGCUUUCCUCAACUUCAUGGGUAAUGAAUUUGGUCAUCCGGAGAGAGUCGAAUUUCCGAUGCCAAGCAACAACUUCUCCUAUUCUCUAGCCAGCCGGCGUUGGGAUCUGUUGGGGAAUGGAGUGUAUCAAAAUUUAUUUUCCUUUGACAAGGACAUGAUGAAGUUGGACGAGAAUGAGAGGGUGCUUUCAAGAGGUUUUCCAAAUAUCCAUCAUGUGAAUGACUCCAGCAUGGUGAUAUCUUUUAUACGAGGUCCUCUUCUCUUCAUAUUUAACUUUCAUCCAACUGCUUCCUAUGAAAGGUAUGUGGUAGGCGUGGAAGAGGCUGGAGAGUAUCAAGUAAGCAAUUCUAAAUACAGAUGAAAAGGACUAUGGAGGUCAGGGGCUUAUAGAGGAAAGCCAGUAUCUCCAGAGAACCAUUAGCCGACGAGCUGAUGGCUUGCGGAAUUGCUUGGAAGUCCCUGUACCAAGUAGGACUGCCCAGGUGUACAAAUUGAAACGGAUCUUGAGGAUAUGAAUGUUAUUUAACUUUCUCAAGGAGAGUGCAUUUGGAGGUUGGAAAGGACAAAGAAAUUCUAUUUCGCAAAGCUAAUUUUGAAACACAAGAAGCGAACGAGAUAAACACUGCUUGGCAUGUCAGCUCCAAAAGAUUACUUGCCCUUUUGACCAGCAUAAAUCAAUGCUAGUUGCUGGAGCAUUAUAUUGUGAGAGAAAAAUUAAUUCCAAUUGAGGUAUUCGGUGGAAUUUCAGUCUAUUCACCUUAGAAAUUUUUGCUGUCCUCAUUCAAGUAUACGGAUCGAACAAUUUAUGGCACGGGCAGCCUGGAGUAGUGAGAGUUUCAGCUCUCACAACACGUGGAAUCAAUAUGAGUCAGAGUGGUAUCAGGGCAGAUCUUUCAGAAUCUAAAGCACUUACUCCGUUUGGUGUCUUGCAGAGGAACGUAUGUGGUUGGUCUAAAUCUCUCCGACAGGAGGCCGAGUUUGAAACGGGUGAGGUGGCAAGCAAAGAUCAUGCGCAUCCAUUGCCUUAUUUUUCGCUCCUCCAUUUGAUGAUGUUUGUCCAUUGCCUUUUACAUAACUGUAUUUUCAAAGAUAAGAUUUGAUACAAAAGGAAGUUUGUAGUGUAAUUAUCGAACCAUCCAAAAGGAGCAUGAUUAUUCUUUUAGGUUGUC